ensembl:rRNA 5S_rRNA 5S ribosomal RNA
GCUUACAUCCUUCUUUGUCCCAUCNUCUCGGAAGCCAAGCAGGGUCGGGCCUGGUUAGUACUUGGAUGGGAGACCGCCUGGGAAUACCAGCUGCUGUAAGCC